rnacentral:sRNA from 1 species
ACGACCUGGACACGGCGGAGCAUACGCUCGC